CAGCAGCCACGGGAAUACAGAGGGUGCAAGCGUUAAUCGGAAUUACUGGGCGUAAAGCGCGCGUAGGUGGUUUGUUAAGUUGGAUGUGAAAUCCCCGGGCUCAACCUGGGAACUGCAUCCAAAACUGGCAGGCUAGAGUAGGGCAGAGGGUGGUGGAAUUUCCUGUGUAGCGGUGAAAUGCGUAGAUAUAGGAAGGAACACCAGUGGCGAAGGCGACCACCUGGGCUCAUACUGACACUGAGGUGCGAAAGCGUGGGGAGCAAACAGGAUUAGAUACCCCAGUAGUCCCUGUCUCUUAUAC
rnacentral:rRNA from 1 species